rnacentral:rRNA from 1 species
UACGUAGGGUGCGAGCGUUGUCCGGAAUUAUUGGGCGUAAAGGGCUCGUAGGCGGUCUGUUGCGUCGGUAGUGAAAACUCAGGGCUUAACCCUGAGCCUGCUUCCGAUACGGGCAGACUAGAGGUAUGCAGGGGAGAACGGAAUUCCUGGUGUAGCGGUGGAAUGCGCAGAUAUCAGGAGGAACACCGAUGGCGAAGGCAGUUCUCUGGGCCGUAACUGACGCUGAGGAGCGAAAGCGUGGGGAGCGAACAGG